AGUGAACGCUGGCGGUAGGCCUAACACAUGCAAGUCGAACGGCAGCACAGUAAGAGCUUGCUCUUACGGGUGGCGAGUGGCGGACGGGUGAGGAAUACAUCGGAAUCUACUUUUUCGUGGGGGAUAACGUAGGGACACUUACGCUAAUACCGCAUACGACCUACGGGUGAAAGCAGGGGAUCUUCGGACCUUUCGCGAUUGAAUGAGCCGAUGUCGGAUUAGCUAGUUGGCGGGGUAAAGGCCCACCAAGGCGACGAUCCGUAGCUGGUCUGAGAGGAUGAUCAGCCACACUGGAACUGAGACACGGUCCAGACUCCUACGGGAGGCAGCAGUGGGGAAUAUUGGACAAUGGGCGCAAGCCUGAUCCAGCCAUACCGCGUGGGUGAAGAAGGCCUUCGGGUUGUAAAGCCCUUUUGUUGGGAAAGAAAAGCAGCAGGUUAAUACCCCGCUGUUCUGACGGUACCCAAAGAAUAAGCACCGGCUAACUUCGUG
rnacentral:rRNA from 1 species